UACGGGGGGAGCAAGCGUUGUUCGGAUUUACUGGGCGUAAAGGGCGCGUAGGCGGCGUGACAAGUCACUUGUGGAAAUCUCCGGGCUUAACUCGGAACGGUCAAGUGAUACUGUCGGACUAGAGUACAGAAGGGGCAACUGGAAUUCUCGGUGUAGCGGUGAAAUGCGUAGAUAUCGAGAGGAACACCUGCGGCGAAGGCGGGUUGCUGGGCUGAUACUGACGCUGAGGCGCGAAAGCCAGGGGAGCGAACGGG
rnacentral:rRNA from 1 species